GACGAACGCUGGCGGCGUGCUUAACACAUGCAAGUCGAACGGAGCGAAUGAAAGCUUGCUUUUAUAAGCUUAGUGGCAAACGGGUGAGUAACACGUAGGCAACCUGCCGACAGGAUGGGGACAACAUUCCGAAAGGAAUGCUAAUACCGAAUGAAGUCAGAGAAGGGCAUCCUUUUCUGAUGAAAGAUGGCCUCUAUAUAUAAGCUAUCACCUGUCGAUGGGCCUGCGUCUGAUUAGCUGGUAGGUGAGGUAACGGCUCACCUAGGCGACGAUCAGUAGCCGGUCUGAGAGGAUGAACGGCCACAUUGGGACUGAGACACGGCCCAGACUCCUACGGGAGGCAGCAGUGGGGAAUCUUCCGCAAUGGGCGCAAGCCUGACGGAGCAACGCCGCGUGAGUGAAGAAGGUCUUCGGAUCGUAAAGCUCUGUUGA
rnacentral:rRNA from 1 species